CACCAUAAACAUAUGCCUGGUGUGUGUGUGUGCGAGAGAGAGAGAGAGAGAAUGUGUGUGUGAGUGUGUAUGUGAGUGAGAGUGAGAGGAGUUAAGGGAAAAAACACUGUUGUGAGCAGUGGUAUAUAUAUGGCCAGAAAGCUAUGAGAUACAUGUCAUUUCUUCAGAGAGAUACAAGUACGUGUAUAUGAAAAAACGAAGUACAACAUAUCAAGAAUGGAGACACUUUUCUUGAUUAUCGCACUUCAUGUGUCAGGAUUCACAGUUCUGGCACUACCUCAAGCUAAAAAUUUGGCAUUGUAUGGAAGAGCCACACAAUCAGACCUAUAUGAAAGCCCAUGGUCAGGGCACAGUGAUGCCCACAAUGCCAUCGAUGGUAAUCGUGACCCAAAUUUUCUUCAUGGAUCCUGCACCUUAACUGAUAAAGAAACAAAUCCCUG